rnacentral:lncRNA from 1 species
UCAAAGUAUUUUCUCGUUGUCGUGCAAUUAAUCCUUAAAAACCUUUUCAUAAACGAAAGACAUUUUUUCUCGAGAUGAUGCAAUACAAUGCUUCAUCCACUACCGUCGAGUUGAGAUAGGUGACGUGUUCCCAUGAAUGUUGAUAUGUAGAAACCCAUUCAAUGUGAUGUUAACGCCCGCUCCUCGGCUGUUUUGGAUAAAACAAUGUUUUAUGUCGAUUGCGACAAAAUAACUUUCGCUAAAAUCGACCAACAAAC